UAGGGGUAGAGGGAAUUCCCAGUGUAGCGGUGAAAUGCGUAGAUAUUGGGAAGAACACCGGUGGCGAAAGCGCUCUACUGGACCGUAACUGACACUGAGGGACGAAAGCUAAGGUAGCGAAAGGGAUUAGAUACCCCUGUAGUCUUAGCCGUAAACGAUGGAUACUAGGCGUUGUCUGUAUCGACCCGGACAGUGCCGAAGCUAACGCGUUAAGUAUCCCGCCUGGGGAGUACGCACGCAAGUGUGAAACUCAAAGGAAUUGACGGGGGCCCGCACAAGCGGUGGAGUAUGUGGUUUAAUUCGAUGCAACGCGAAGAACCUUACCAAGAUUUGACAUCCCGUGAAUCUUGCAGAGAUGCGAGAGUGCCUUCGGGAGCACGGAGACAGGUGGUGCAUGGCUGUCGUCAGCUCGUGUCGUGAGAUGUUGGGUUAAGUCCCGCAACGAGCGCAACCCUCGUCCUUAGUUGCCAGCAUUAAGUUGGGCACUCUAGGGAGACUGCCGGGGACAACUCGGAGGAAGGUGGGGAUGACGUCAAGUCAUCAUGCCCCUUACAUUUUGGGCUACACACGUACUACAAUGGUCGGGACAAAGGGCAGCAACCCCGCGAGGGCAAGCGAAUCUCAUCAAACCCGGCCUCAGUUCAGAUUGCAGGCUGCAACUCGCCUGCAUGAAGGAGGAAUCGCUAGUAAUCGCAGGUCAGCAUACUGCGGUGAAUCCGUUCCCGGGCCUUGUACACACCGCCCGUCACACCAUGGAAGCUGGCAACGCCCGAAGUCGUUACUCUAACCGUUCGCGGAGGAGGGCGCCGAA
rnacentral:rRNA from 1 species